AUUAGAAGAAAUAAAAAUAUUAAAAAAAUGAUUCACAAAAUAUAAUGUUUAUUAUGAAAAUAUUAUCUAGUUGAAAAACAUUUAUGAAAAUAUAGAAAAAUCAAGCAAACAAAACUUUGAAUCUAUUUACAUUAUAGUUUUAUUUUAUUCAAUUAGGUGUGACCCAAUUUUGGCUACUUGCCUCUCGUAAUUUCUUGGAAAAUAAUAAUCCAAACCAAAUCAUAAACAAUAAUUCAUAACUGCUGUAAACAACAUCACAUAAAGUAAUUUGAUACAUUACACAACAAUCUUUGAUGUUAUUAUUGAAGAAGCCUUUAAAAAAUUAAUUAGGCCCCUCAAACGCUCAUCCACUCUGAAUCGAUCUAACAAAUUGAUACUAAAAUUUAUCGAUAAUAAGAUUAAUUUUCCGUAUAGCAGUCUUUAUCAAAUAACUAGUUCAUCAGACUGUACCUUGAUUUAAUUUGAUUUCUUAAUCGGAACCAAGCUUGCGGCGGAGAAUGGAAUUGCUUUGGUGUUGAUGGUGGUGAUUUUGGGCUGUUUUGGCUCAUCUGAUUCGUCGGUAUUUCGGGAUUUCACCAGAGGGAUUUGCUGUUGAGUAGCGAUGUCUCGGCCGGCGAACUUUUGAGGAGGAAAGAAGAAAUCAGUGGGGAAGAAUUUGUACUGAAGUCCAGCCAUGUAUGUGUAGAAAUGAGUUAUUUGAGAGUAUUUAGCUUUUUUGUUAAGCAUUUUGAUUCGGCCUUUCACUUAUUUAUAAAGCCACAUAUCUAAGGGCUUGUUUGCCUUUCAAUAAUGCUUAUGGCCUAUUUGAUAGGUUGAGUUUUUCUUGGAAAAUAAUUCCAUUUUCCACCAAUAUAAUAUGUUUGAUAGCAAACUUUUUUGUGUAAUUUGUUUUCCUCCAACCCCUCACGUGUCCCGAUUUUCCGUGGUUUUAAAGAAUUUUUUUUCAUGGAAAACAAAACCAAAAAUGAAUACCAGCAAAUUCAAAAUUUCAACAUUUUUCAUGUGAAAAACUAUAUCAAUCAAACACAUUUUAUUGACAGUUCCCAUUAAAACAAGUUCUAGGCAAUUCGAUUCCCUAAAAUUCGCUUUCUUUUCCUCCAAAUUUCAUUCUUACAGUCAAAUGGACCUUUAGUUUUUUUAAUUAUUAUACUUAUAAUCAUUGGAAACGAGAUUAAAAUUUUAUCUUCAUCAAAAAUCAAGUGAAAUUCAUACGUUACUCAAUUUCGCCUACUCUUAAUUAAAAGUUUUUGAGCAUCAAGAUCUAUGUAUCAAUUGUUGUCAUUGAUGGUGUGUUUAGUUUUUUGAAAAGGGUUUUCGGAAUUUAAGUUGAAAAUGGAAAAUAAGAUUAAUUGCUGCCACCAAACAAGCCUUUAUCUAUCCUUGACCAUUUUGGAAUAUCAAUUUUUUAUUCAAAGGAUAUUCUAGUCCAUAUACUCCACCUACUUUUAUAAGAUCCAUAACGUUUUAUUUGUGAGUUAAAAAUAAAAACUAUAUAAAAUUAACUGGCCCCACUUUAAAUUUGAUAAUUAAUUAGGACUCAUAGCAUGAGUAAUGAUGUGUUUGCGAGAUUUUUUUCCUUUUUUUUUACUUCAAUAAUAAUUAAUUAUUUUUCCUUCUGUUUUUAUAUGAUUGAUUAGAUUGAGCACGUGAUUGAGAUAGGCAAUCCCACGUGAGUCAUACAUUGCAACGUGUUCUCAUUGACCAAACUGAUAUUUUAAUGUGUUUAUUUUGGUUUAAAUUUUUAAUUAAAUAAUUUCUUCUAAAGUCUCAAUAAUACAGAAUAAAUUAAUUAAAGGUGGGCUGCCUACUAUUUGCAGCAUGAUUUAUGAGCAUAUUGGGUGGUAACUAGUAAUCGAAGACAAUACUAUUGAUGGCUCAUGUGAUUUGAUUUCUAUACUAAAAAAGUCCAAAAGUAUACCGAAAUUACUUCUAAUAUGCACGAGUUUCUACAACCGUAACUUUCCACAGAGGGCAGAAUUCACAAACCAUGUUUUAAGUAUGCACACUUUAAAAUUAAAGUGGUUAAGUUUAAUUAUGUAAAAACUAGGUUUUUAUGUAAUUAAUUAAAAAUAUUUAAUAUUUAAAUAUAAUAAAAGUCACGUUUACACAAUUAUUGUCACAAAUCUCCAAUUAUAGGUCACAGAUUUUUUCUUGGUCACAAAUCAAAAUUUUGUUGGUCACAGAUUUUUUCGUGGUCGCAAAUCAAAAAUUUUGUUGGUCAAAAAUUAUUUCGAGAUUGUAAAUCAAAAAUUUUAUAGGUCACAGUUUUUAUCAUUGGUCGCAGAUUAAAAAAUUAUAGGUCACAGAUUAUUUAUUAGUCAUAUAUUUCGAAUUUGUUGGUCACAAUUAUCAAAUUUUAAGGUCACAUUGGUCAGAGGUCAAAACAGUGGGUCACAUACCACCACCUUUACUGUCACCACCACCCUCACUCCAUCACUAUCACCGCUAUCGCCACUACUGCCAAAAUUUUCACCACCAGAUCCAAUCAAUCGCUAACAAAAACCUAAGCAAUCAACUCUACCAGCUCUUCCAACCACCAACCACCACCUCCACCUCCACCGCCGUAAAAAACCACAACAACCGCCACCACCAAAUACAAUAACAAUACCUAUGCACAAUCUCACCACUGUUUCCACCCAAAAUCACCACUGCCAACAACCACCGCCAACAACACCACAAUCGUACACAACCACUGUCAGGGGCACCACCACCACCAGAGCCACUGCACACGAACUGGCGGAACACAAAUCGAAAAAAAUUCAACCACUCACUACCUAACCAUACCAUCAGCAACACCACCGCACAGGUGCACAUACCACCACCCGUAAAAUCCACCGACGAUCAAAACCAUGGAAAAAAUCAAGUAGAGCCGCGAGCAGUGGCGUUCACAGUAAAUCGUCGAAGAAUUGUUCACAGUACAUCUACCUCGUAAACCAUCAGCCAUAGCAAAUCGUCGGAGAAAUAUCGCUAAUCGGAGGAAUUUCAGAUCGAAGCCUUCGUCGCAAUUUCAUCCCUUCAUUCCAGUAGCAACGUACUGGCGGCGGCGAAGUGAAAUGAGGUUGAUCUUCGACGACGAAUGCUCCAAUGGCGACGACGACAUCAUCUGACAGAGGAUGAAGAUGGAAAGGAAGAGUGAGAGUGCAAGUGUGAGAAUGAAAUAAAAGUGGGUGGAAAUAAAAUUAGGGUUCAUAUUAUAUGUCAAAACUUGAUUUGUGCACAAUGAAACUUGGUCCCUGGCUUUUGAAUUGUGGUCUUUAAGUACCUGGUACCAUGUAAUUUUCCCUUCCACAAAUUACAUAUGCGGAUGAUUAUAAAUAACUUGACAAUUUUAAAUUAUGGUUGACAAAAAUUCCUGAAGCAAAUCAAGCAAUUCGAUUCCAUUCGAUUUUUCUUAAGUUAAAUCCCUGAAUAGGCACUAGAAUCAAGAAUCGACAGGUUUAAUUCAAUUCACGAUUCUAGACCAAGCAUUGACGAACCAAAUCUCCCUAAUUUUUUUAUAUUGAAUAUGUUAAUAUAUUUUGUUUUUUUCUAAAUAUAUUUAUUAUAUGCCAAUUAAUUAAUUGUAAGUGCAGCUCUCCAACUUCCAAGGACCGAGCCCAACAUGAAACCGAAAUAAUUUUGGGCAACUUACAAAAAUGCCCUUAAAUUAGAUGUGUUUUGAAAAAUCAUAUGAAAAUUUUUUUGGAAGUAAAAAAUACUGUGUAAAAUUAAAAAAUGACACUGUCACUUUUUUUUUUAAUAAAAAUUGUCACUUUUUUCACAAUUAAAAAAAAAUGACACUCAAAAAGUGGCAAAAUUAGAAAAAAAAAAUGACACGAACUCAAAAAAAUGAUAGACACUAAAAGAAAGUAAAUUCUACAAAUUCAAAAAAUGGUUACGGAAAUUUUAAAAAGUGACAGAAGCUCAAAAAAAAUAAAUUCUACAAAUUCAAAAAAGUGACAGAAUUUCAAAAAAGUGACGGACGCUGAAAAAAUAAAUUCUACAAAUUCAAAAGAGUGACAAAAAUUCAAAAAAGUAACAGAAAUUAAAAAAAUGACGAACACUAAAAAACUUACUUAAAAAAAAGUGACGAAUGAUCAAGAAAAAAGUGAUUACAUUCUUCCUUCCUAGCAACUAAACUUACUAACAUCUAACUGCAGCCAAUCUAAGAAACUUUAAAUUGAAGUAAUGGAUUGCUUCUUCUUUUGCGAUGCUUUUGGAAAUCACUUAUAAUUGGUGGCCAAUAUACAAGAGAGAGUGAAUUAACGUCAAAAGAGGAUUCCACGAACUGUCUCUAGCAACAUGUCCAAUAGAGAGUUUCUCAUUAUCAAUUCUGUUUUUUUAAAAGGCACGAAUGCAACAGCAGUAUCACUAGCAACUGGCAGGCUAUUUCCUGUUAUUUCCUGCCAUUUCUGCAGUAGUAUCACCAACAUUUGCAAACCUAUUUACUCAGCCUGUGACAGAAAGUGUCAAGUACUUGGUCUUUAGGGGAAAAAAGAGUAUGGAAAAUGUUAAAGAUAAGUUUAGUGUCUCUUUAAACUUUCAAGUAAAAAGGAUUGAAAAGUAAAACUCAGCUAACCCAACAAUGGCUUCGGGAGAAAAACAACUACCACAUUACAAAUUAAUUUUGAUUCUUUUUGUCCACAUAAUUUAACUAAGGGUAACUUCCAAAAAUAUCUCUAAAAUUAAUGAUCUUUCGAAAAAUCAUAUAAAAGGUAUUUUGGAAGUAAAAAGUAAAGUGUAAAAUUAAGUGUCACUUUUGUUAUUUUUUAAAAAUGACACAACGUCAAUUUUUAAAGUUAAGUGGAACUUUUUAAUAAAAAAGUCGCAUGGUCACUUUUAUUAAAAAGUGAUAUUUGUCCCUAAAUAAAGUGAUAGAAUUUUCAAGAAAGUCAUAGGAAAAAAAUAGUAAGAAUCUCUAAAAAAAGUGACAAAAAUUAAAAAAAAAGUGACAAAACACCAAUUAAAACAUUGAAAUCAAUUUCAUAAGGUGGCUAAACUUUACAUUUAAGUACAUUAUUAUCUUGUGCGGAGAAUAUAACGCAAUUUUUCCUUUGAACCUAUAUUUUUGAGAGAUUAUUAAAUCUCAAUUCAAAAAAAAAAAAAAAGGAUUGAUACUAAAAAGAGUGACUAAAAAAGUGACAAAACGAUUAACACAUAUUCUAUUGCUAUUUCUAUAAUGAAGAAAUAAUUCAAGUUCUUUUUUCCUCAGACCCGCUCCCAACUCCAAUUUAGACUAUAGGUCUCUUUCUGACUUUUUCGGCAUAAGAGGUCUUGUCUCUUUGCUUUUUUAGCGCAUCCAGGGCCUUGGCGCCCAGCUUAGCUGGAGAGGCCUAGUUUGAUCUGAGAAGUGCUAAUUCGCAAUUCCAAAAGAGGGGCCGAUAAGGCUGCUAACCCUGGUAAGAACCUUCUCGGAGACAAGUUACCUUUAGAUCUGUUGGUUUAUAAGGUCUUUUAACGGGCUAAUAUAGGGCUUAGAAAACUAAACCAUAUCCACCUAAAAUCCACGUAGAAAAAUGAUUAACACAAAUUCUGAAGAUUAUUUCUACACAUUCCACACAUUUGUUUUUUGAUCAUACAUCUAGUAAAGCAUUAUGUAUUUGUAAUGGAAAUUUUGCAAGAAAACAGAGCAUGGGAUAACCAGGGCCACGGAAAUAUAAAAUUCCAAGUUCCAAUAAGAAGAUUCAAUCAAGAACACAAAGGGAACUUUCUUGAAUCCAUUAAAUCCAUUCCUUCCCAUUUACAAAGAAUUACAGAAGGUGCCAUCAAAAGAGUGCCCAUUUUCAAAAAUAGGAUUCAAAUUCGGUUCAAGUGGAGUGACUAAAUUAAAAUCCCAAGAGAAUCAUAUUGAACCAUGAGAUAAUAUUUCAUUGUUCAUAAAUUCAGAUUCAUACUGAAUUAUAUUUGUUAUGCCAGUACGUAUUAGAAUUUAAAAUCUUGGAUCUUUUACAUAUAAUAAUAUGAGGAAAUUUAGGUAUAAAAUGAAAUAAAUUUCUCUUUGAUAUCUGAACUUUACAUAUGCAAACUCGAAAAUAAAUUCUUAGUGAUUUUACCUAUUCAUGGUUGAUUGAGGAUUUGAUCUGUGAAAUUUGUUCUUUGAUGUUUAAUAACUGGAGGUUUGUAUCCACAAAAGGCCCGAAUGUAUAAAUUUGAAAAGGGCAACUUACAUAAAUUUGGAAAGGGCAACUUAGAGGGUUUUAGAAAAGGAACUUAUUUUCUACUCUUUAUGAAUAAUGCAUUCCAUUUUUCAAUUUUUUUAGUUUUAGGCAGUUAUGGGCCUAAUUAACCCAAUAGUUUUUUCCGACAAAUUUCAAUCCAAGCCCAACGUCACUUCAUAAUUCACCUAAGAUAUUCAUUCUAUUAUUUAGGUUUAACUGUUGCCAUUGUUUUUGGCCACAUUUAAGCUCAACUUCAUUCACAAUUCACCUAACACUCACUCAUUCUUUCAUUUAUAUUCAGCUGUUGCCAUCGUUUUUAGCCACUCUCCUCACACAAGUCACAACUUCAUCUUUGCUCCUCUAGAUCGUCAAUGUUUUGACAUUAUUAUUUACUUUUUUUAAUAAUUUGUAUAUAUAGGUGAAUGGAUCUUAUUAGACAUCUUUUAUUUGUAUUUUCGGUCUUGCUAUAGGUACAAGAAAAAACUACCGAAUUGAUACAGAAAUUUGAAAAAUGCUAAUGUGGCACACUCCCUUUAAAAAAAAAAAAAGAUUAGGAAACAUAAAAGGGUAGAAAUAACAAGACUGAAUUGAACUCUUCCCCCACUCUAGCCAUUUUACCCUCGCUUCGUCCAAUGACUGGCCCUUCAACCUCCUACAGUGAAACCGGCCGUCGCACCAACCCUCCGACAGUGAAAUCGAUCGACGCUCCAACCUCCACCUUGGAUAGUAGUAAGGUGGUAUAACUAUGAAGCAUAUUUCUGAGAAUCUGAUGAAGUGAAAUCUCUUGCAAUUUGAAUAAGUUGUUUGUUAAUUGUUAAAGUGUCGAUUCAUAUCAUAUUUCAGAAAUGGUUGAAGUGAAAUCUCAAUGUAGAAUUUGUAAUUGCAGAAUUAAUACAAGUAGAAUUCCGUAUACAUCACCUAUAUUUACAAAAAAUCGCAUAUAUAUACUGAUAUAAACAAUAUAAUUCACAUUUGCAGCCCAAAGUCAGUGACCUGAAUAUAAUUUUAGGAUCAAAUUUAUUUGCAGCAUGUAUAGUGCAACUGAGUUUCCAAAAAAUAUAUACACACAUGCAUGCUAAGAAAGACUGGAAGUGGACAGUGGAUGAUUCCGUCCAAAUAUCUCAAGAAUUGACCUGACUUCAAGUUGGAAAUUGUAAAAAUGGAACAAUUGGUUGCCUAGGAGUGGAAAAAAAAGGGAAAAAAAUGGGGGAAUCGGACCAUAUCAGUACUAAUCGGUUUUGGUCGGUCUAAUUUGAUUUUUGAAUGCUUGAAAAAUAAAUUGCAAGAUAUAGCGUAUAUUCUUCUUAUUUCACUUCCAUGCCUUUUCUUUUUAAAGUCAGUGAGUUCUUUGACAAUUGAUGGUUUCAUAGCCAAAUCCUAUUACACGUUCGGCCUAAAGUUCUAUGUGCUGUUCUACAUUCAGCAAAAAGAGUAAAACUUGUAAAUGGACCAAAUAGCUAAUAUCCUAGAACUUGCUACAAUGCCCAACUUUGAAAGCUUAAAAGGCUAACAUUUCACUGGGUGAAAUGGACUCUCGCUUGGCCGGCGAUGGUGGAGAAUCCGUCUAUGGGGACCCCAACUAUUCAGCAAACACGCUUAAUAGUUGGAGUUUCGCACUUCUUGCUCGGCAGGAGAUGUGGAGUAUAUAUGUUGCGGGUUGCAUGGCCGGAGAUAUGGAGAUUUGGUGGUGAGUUUCUCUAUUCUUGGAGAUGUGGAGAUAUGGAGAUUUUGGUGGCGGGUUAUCUUGCUUCCCUCUUUCUCAGAUUUUUGGCUUCCUGCUUUCUUGAUUAGUUUUCUUCUUCUUUUUUUCUUUUCCUUCCCUUAAUAUCGGUCUAGCUGUCUUUAGUCCCCUGCCAUGUUAGUCAUUUUUAAAUUCCUGUAAGUUAUCUGUCAAAUGGGUCUGUACUUGUAGCUUUCUCCUUGUAUUUUUUUAAUUAAAUUAUGUUAUUUUUUAAAAGUUAAAAUUGAACAUAUCAUUCAUUAAAUUAAUAUAGUGUUGUUAUAAGUGUUAAAAAAUUUAAUUAUGGUAUGGAACCCCAAAUCGAACUGAACCAACUCGAACCAAAGAGAAGAACUAUUUCGGUGCCAUAAUUAAAUUUGGACCUAACGAUUCCACUUACUGAAUAUCUAAAAAAUCCGAUUCAAUUCGAUUUGAACUGAACCAUGUCCAACUCUAAUUUAGAUCAACUUUAGAUGAUUUUUCAUUUAUGGAAAUGGAAGGCUAAUUCUCAAUGAUUGAAAAUUUGAAGCGUAUUAUAAAGAGUUCGUUGAGUUCGAUUGGAGUGGGACCAUUUGAUCUAUUUAUAGGCAUUAACAAUCAAAUUGAUCGACAAUGUCACAUCAGCUAUAGUGUUGACCUCAAAGUAUGGGCCACCACCCAAAUUUAAGGCUUUUGAUUGGUGUUUGAUGUCAACCAUGUAGGUUAUCAUGCUAAUUAGGUUGUACAUAUAGCCUAGGUAAUGAAUUUUCUGUCACCUAGAUAAUCAUUGCCUAUUUUUUAUUUGUGGAGGAUGAGUUACUAAUGUCAGGGCCGGCCUUGAAAAUUUAGAGGUUCUAGGCGACAACUUAUUACGAGGCCCUCCAACAUAAUAUUUUUUCAGGUGCAACAAUAUUUAAAUAGAAUAAUGUUAAUUGUACAUAAGUAGUUAUAUAAUGAUUUAUAUACAGAUGAGAUAUCAAAGAAAUAGUAGAGAAGUUUUUUUUCUUUUUUUUUGUUGAAGAAAUUCUGAUACGAUUAUAUCUCACCACAUAUUAUGUAUGUAAAUUAUUAUGUAAACCGAUUAUGUAAUAUAGAACAACCAAUUUAAUAUUUAAAUAAUUAAUACUUUUAUAUUAAAAAAAAAAGACUUUAUGCAAUUCAAAGUAACUUGUGUAUAUAUAGUUACAAAGGAGAGAAAAAACCACAUUGCAAAACCAUAAUUCCAAACAAUCACCGGGUGCAAUAAAAUUAAAAGAAAUUAACCCAAGCAAAAUACCAAUGAGGAGUAAUUAUCCAAACAUCAGACAAAGAAAGUGGAUCUCAUUGUGAUACAAACUAUCAUUCUGACAAAAUGCAAUUAAUUAAUUACCUUUCUUUUUACUAUUUGUAACUCCAAUAAUAAAUAUAGAUCAAAUGAGAUUAAGCGAAUUGAUCAUUGCCUCAAAAACUAUCAUCCUAGGUCAUGUUACCUAAUUAUUUACAUGAAUAUGCUCCCACAAAUGACUUAUUUAUGAAAUUUUUUUUUGGAUUAGAAAAUAUCUUUCUCUAUAAAUAUUAAGACAUCUCAGCAAUCUGUUAUGUUUGGUGUUUACAAAUGAAUUAGUUAUUCUCUUCAUCCCACAAAACAGGUCUGGAUAUUUUAACAAGAAUUGAACCUUCCGAACCAGAACAAGAGGUUUUGGUUCGAUUUACAAAAAAAAUAAUUAAAUAAAUAAAUUUGGCACUGGAACUGAUAACCGAUUGGUUCGAAUCAAUUCUUAGUUCCUGAACUAGAACUAUGAAUACCGAAAUGGAAUUGAUUUUCAAGAUAAUUUUUUGUUUACAAUUUAUAUGUUGGGUAAAAAAAUGCAAAACCUAUAAACCCUAAUUUAGAUAGUAGUUAGUCUAAAACUUUAAACCCAAGAAAUCAAGACUAGCUCUUACUUUUUUACCUUUCACCUUACAUUAUAUUGUUGCAUUUCAGAUGUUAGUACAUGUUAAUCUUUGCAAUUUUGGCUUUCUAUGAAUCAAAAGUUCGAGCUAGAUUAUGGUGUAAGUUGAUGAAUCAAAACAUUAAUUCUUUACAAUUCGAGCUUUUUACUUUCUUGCAUUGUUUACAACUUAAGUGAUUUUUUCAUUUUUUUUUAAAUAAUGUAUAGCAAUUGAACUUGAUAUAUUCAUAGCUUGGAUAGUGUAUAUUUUUUAUUUUCUCGAGUUUGUGAUUCUUUUUUGAAAUAGAAUUUUUUUUUCAGUGAUGACUUAAGUGAUUUUAAAGUUCAGUGACCCCAUCAAAACUUCUUGUAAAGUUCAGUGAUCAUUUAGGUUAUUAAAUCCGAGUUGGUGUAAUGGGCACAUCCAUGUGUGAAGCGUACUCGUUAUAUUGUUUUGAAUACUUAUUAAUUUUAAUUAUAUUUUAAUUGAGGUCACCUUGUCAUGCUGCUAGCAAUGGCUCAAUUGGGCUACCAAGUAAUUCUGGUAUCUUUAAUUAUGUUGAAUUUCUGGAAGGUCGAUUGGUCCUCUGUUCAUACUUCUUUUCUUGUGGUGAUAUCGUCUAUUUGGACCUUUUGGUACAAUCUUCUCGAUAUUGACGGGAUAUAACAGAUCAUAAUGGUUAAUUUGUUAUGAUUGGAAAAGAAGACUAAUAAGCAAAUUUGAGUUUAUUCUGCAAGGGUUAAAUUGAAAAGCAUUUUCUUGGAUAAAAAUUUUAUUCUAUGCCGUUAAAAAAACGAAGAGUUACUUUCUUGGAUAAAAAAUUUAUCCUAUGUCUAUUGAUCUAUGAACAUUUAAAAUUUUUAAAGGAAUUAUCAUCGAUAUUCUAUCAAAGAGGAAAGAAAUAAAGUAACUGAUUCGUUAGUUACAAAGGGAAGAGAGUGAUGCUGCUUUCAGGAGUAUGGUGCUCUUGAGCUAUCUCAAGUACUUCGCAUUUGUACCAUAGUAUGAUUGGACUAACAAGUCAUUUCUCUCAAGUUUAGAUGCCUAUAGGAUUUUUGGUUUCCUUUUUCACAUUUGUACCGGAGGUAUUACUCAUAUAUUGCUUUCAAUAUUAAUAAAAAAAAAAAAAAAGGGGAUGGGGUCCUCAAGGUUGGAGUUCAACCUGCUUUCAAUAUUUAUUUCUUUGACUAGAGGUUCGGCAUAUGCCCAUUCGUUGUAUUCAUUUGUUUUCAUCUAUAUUAUGGUAAGAGAAUCUUAGCUCCUCUUCUUGUCUUGGUGGAAACUGGAAACUAAAAAAUAAAUGGGGACUAUGUUGGUGCUUUAUUUAAAAAAAAAAAAAAAAAAAAAAAUUUUUCAAAAAAAUUUUAUUUUUUUUUAAAUUGCCACAUAUAUUGGUGCUUAACAUUAGUAAUGAUGAAUAACAUAUCUCUACAUCUAUUACAAUAGAGAGAGACAUAAUUAAUGGUGAUGAUAGUUGGGUUGAGACGGCCUUUACAGUAUGUCGACGUUACCUAAAGGCAAUAAGACGUUAAGAGCGUUGGGGUUCAACCUUUUUUUAAUAAGACGUUAAGAGCCACUAAAAAUUCGACCCAACCUAGACUUUUAGCAAGCCAAAUGGGCUCUUUAUGCAACCCAGUGAACUCGGCUCAACUCAGUCGAUACCGCUAGAUAUAAGAGUUAUCCAUGUCAUGUACUUUCUUGCACAGAAUUCUGUUGCAUUGAGACCUCUGAUUGUGAGAUGCAAAUUCAUCUGCUAAACUACUUGAUCUCAUAACAUUACAAAUUCUGUUUCAAAGUAUGAAAACUCUUUCUUGACAUUCAAAAAUAUGAGGAAAAACAAAAAGAGAAGUGAUCGCCAAAAAAGAAAAAAAGAAAAAGGACAUAUAGAAGUCUUCUAUUUGAAAAUGGGAUUAGACAAAAAAAAAAAAAAUAAUAAUAAAUAAAUAAAAAAAUAAAAAAAAAUCAAAUUUUCUCUCAUUUUCUUUUAAUUUUCUUCCAUUUUUCUUUUUCUUAAUAUGAAGUGUGUUGUAGGAGCACAUUUUCAAAAGAAACCUUAAUAUUGAAGAAGUUGUAGGGAAAUGAGACGAAGUUAUACGACAUGAUAUAAAGUAUUAACGAUUUUGCUAGUGGUACAUCGAGGUGUACCUAAUGGUGUACACUUCACUCACAUGGGCAAGGGACCCACUCGAAUAAAAUAUCAUUUCUUUCACAUGGGUCCCACACCCAUGUGAGUGGGGUGUAUACCAUUCGGUACACCUCAUUAUGUACAACUAGACAAAUUCAAGUAUUAAUCACAACAAUAAGAUGAACACAAAGAUAAGAAUUUAAUUUGAUAGAGAAAUUGGAGAUUUUAUUCAACAACUAUCAUGGAGAGAAAAUGCAAUAAUUGUGUUCCUAUACAAUGACUCUAACUUUCCAUAAUUAUCUAAUUGUAAAGAAAGGUGUACUAUUCAUAGGGGUGCAUGUCAAACUCUAAUAAUAGCUCAAAAGAUGGAAAGUAUAUCAAACGCAUGUAAAAUGAAAAAGGAGAAAAAAAAUCUGAUGGUUCGUCACUCGAGCACUGGCCUCGUGCUAGGCGAGCGUCAGUAGUGCUACUCAAGCGGCCCUCUAGGGGUAGUUGAGCAAAAGGCUCUCUGCUCCAAAAUUCGUCCCACUGCUUGAGUAGUGGGUAGGGGCAGGCUAGAGCCAUGUCACCUAAUCUUCUUCUUGGACCUUAUUUUGUUAUCUUCGAGCCCAUACUUCAAAUCACGCAACCCCUUAUCUAAAUUUGAAUCACAAAACCAAACAAUCUUCACCUCGACACAUUCCACUACUACGAUCAUGUCUCCAAAAUUUCUCCACCUGGAGAAAAAAUCAAACUAUAAAGAAUGAACUGAACUCUUCAACAAUAACUAAACUAACUUAUCCAAAAAACUAAAAAUAGUCUACCUCUUCCACAAUAUCCAACUAUGAUACAUGAAUCCAAGCACUACUCCAUAAAAUUACUUUGGGUCCAACCCAAAAAAUCAAAUAAUGAUUUUAAAAUCGGCCAAAACAUACCUUGAAACAAAAUCUAAACUAAAUGCUUUUGUAGAAACUAGAAAGCCCCUUGCUAGUUUGAACAUCUGCAAAUACGCUUUAAGCAUGCGCAACAAAAACAGUUUUCCAGUACCUUUCUUCAAUGGAUCUAUCCAUAGCAAUUACAUAAGAUGACACUAUAGGUGAUGGUGGUAAAUUGGCAUUACCAAUAUCCACUAACCCCGAUCGAGCUGUAUUCUUCAAUACGGACCCUAAACUAAAUCCCAAUGAUACUAUACCAGACUGAAUAGCCACCACGGUACUAAACCUUUGCUGAUUAAUCUUCUUAGAUUUUGCAUGAUCUUGCAAGAUGUAUAAUUGGGAACUAUUCUAUCUCUCCAAUAGAACUCGUGCACCCUUACAAACAUUCAAAACUCCAUUUCCACCAAAAAACUUAUAACCCUUUCAAUCAAAAGUAACUAAUGAGAUGGAUUCUUCUUCAAAUCUAAAACAUGUUGAACCUGACCAAGUGUUUUAGCUAUCCCAUUCAACAACUUCAAUCUGACUUUACCAAUACCAGCUACACGACAAGGUGGUUGUUCAAAAUUGUUUCAUAUGUUACAAACAGAUCCCAAUUGAGACAUAUAUGAAAGGCACAAGUUAGAAUCCAAUCCUCGUUAAGAUUGGAGUUACCGUUACAAAUAGCUAGUACAUAUCCAUCGCUCAAAUAAUUCUCUAUGACAUUAGCUUCACCUGAAGUAUCUGAUUCCUUUCUUUCUAAUUUGUAGCCAAAUUUACUUUGUCUGCAACUUGUUACAAUUCUGCUUAAUGUGCCCAUUUUUCUUGAAAUAAAAUAAACUCGAUUAUUGAAAUAGGAUUUUGACCUACCGAUUCAAUGACCAAAAUGAACAAUAAGGCCUUGUCCAUCUCUAGCCUCAAAUCCAAUUAGAUAUUUCAUCUUCUCCUUUUAAAACAAAACAGCAUAUGCAUCUUUAAUGAUGAAAGUAUCACGACUAUACAAAAUUGUGUCUCUAAAUGAAGUAAACGAAGCAAACAAUAAACACGAAAGAAUGAAAGCUAAAUCUUCUGUAUCAUACUUUACCCCUAAGUCUCCAAACAUCGAUGAUUUCCUUAAAAACAACCAAAAUGAUCUUCCAAUGAUCUGUCUUCUGUUAUGCGAUAAGAAUACAACCUUGACUUCAUGUGCAAUUUACUUGUCAAACUCUUAAUCAUGUAGAAUUACUCCAACUUCGACCACAAUGUUCAAAACUUUCUUAAGAAUAUUAUUCGAAAGAUGAAAACAAAUUUGUAAAAGAAACUUCUGAUCCUUCCAUUGUUUCUCCUCCGUCGUCCAAGUUGUGGACAUCUUAUCAAAUUCCAGCAACGCAUCAUCCAAAUCCAUCUAAGUGAGUACUACAUCAUCUCAUGCCACAACAAGAAUCGUGUAGUGCGAUCCAAAAGUAGAAUGUUAUAAUUCAAGGUUGACAUCAAUAACAAGAAACCUCGAAAAAAUCAAACCAAAGCUCUGAUACCAUUUAAUGAGAAUUUGGACGAGAUUAUAUGGCAUGAUAUGAAGUAUUGAUCACAACAACAAGAAGAACACAAAGACAACUUUAAUUUAAUAGAGAAAUUGGAGAUCCUAUUCAACAAAUAUAAUGGAGAGAAUACAAUAAUUGUGUUCCUACAAUGACUCAAACUUUCAGUAAUUAACUAAUUGUAAAGAAGAGUCUACUAUUUAUAAGGGUACAUGUCAAACCCUAAUAAUAGCCCAAAAGAUGGAAACUAUGUCAAAAACACGUGUAAAAUGAAAAAGUAGAAAAAAAUUUGAAGGCACUCUACUCAAGUGUUGGGCUAGCGCUAGGUGAAUGCUAACAGUGUCAUUCGUGCGACCCUUUAGUGAUAGUCGAGCGGAAGGCUCCCUGUUCCAAAAUCCACCCAACCGCUUGAGCGAUGGGCGGGUGGUAGGCUAGCACCAUUGUGCCUAUUUUUCUUCUUGGACCCUAAUUUGUCAUAUUUAAGCCCAAUAAUCCAAACCACGCAAACCCUAUUGUUAAUUUGGAUCACAAAACCCAACAAAAGUCACAAAAAAUCUUUUGGAUAAUUAGUAAUGGAAUCGAUUCUGCUUCAUCAUUUAAAUUCAAUAAAAGAAUACAAAAAACAAGAAACAUUAUUGUAUCUCUAGAAUACAUGCACAAAAUGUAGAUUACAGAACUGUCUUCUAGGAAUGUAAAAUAUAACCAUAGUAGAAUAAUGACAUUCCCAAAAAAACCAAAAACAGAAAUUGAUGUCAAAGUAUGACUAACAUGAGAAUGGCCAUUUACAUAAGCAUUAACCCAUUUAUUCCCUAGUGGCACUUGACAUCAUCCUUAAAGCAUCUGCAUUGAAGUAAUUGCGAUGAUCAAUUUCAGAAAGAAUAAUUUGAUUAAAGUUAUUAAAAGUGCUUUACUUGCAAAAUAUUGAUUGUAGAAGAUUAAAAUAACUAUUUUCACUGUUAACAAUCAUUAUAAUAAUUCUUUCGUUAUUCUCAAUUGCUAAUGUCAUAGUUGAUUUUAGUACUCUUGCAAGGUCGUGUUUUGCCAACUCUAUCGAUCUAUGUACUGCAUGCUUGGCAAAGCUUAAAAAUGGGUAAGUUCCAAAAUGAACACUUUUUUGGUCGGUCAAAAUUGUAAAUAAGGAAGUACUUCCAUGAAUGCAUACAAUCACUUAUACUAAAAUAAUCAUACUUACCUUUAUAAACACAACUAAUGGCCUUGCAUAGAUAUUCUUGAUUUGAAUCUUCAUGGAGUUAAUUUCUCUGGAAGUGGAACAACUGCUUCAAAAGCUUCAACAAGCAUUGAUACCCUUCUUUUUCGAGCAGGAAUUAGUUUCGUGACAAUGUGUUGAACUGCAUAGUCUAGCAUCCAUUGCUCGGCCUUUUUUCUCUCAUCCAUCAUUUGAUGCCUCAAGUCAGCUUUCUCUUGUUCGGUGUCAGGCAUAACCGAGAGGUGUCGUGGUGGUUGCAGGUUAAGUUUCCUUACCUGCUCUAAUGCUUUUAUGAAUCUCCUGAGGAGGAUUAAUUUUUUCAGCUUGCUCCAGUUCUUGGAUUUCAGUGACUCGGGUUUUCUGGCUGACUUUUGUUUCUGGUCCUCUUGACCAACCGAAAUUCCACCUUCACAUGUGGUACAUUGUGUCGUGUUUUCUUGGUCUAGACUUUCUGAGAUCUCCUGGUCUGGAAUAAAGUCACUUAUAACUGAAUGUGUAUCAGAUGAGUCAUCUUGAACUUCUGGAAGAAGGAUCUCAUCAACUGCCUCUUGUACAAGUUUGACUGCAUCAGUUUUGGUGAAUGCACCAUUCAAAUGGCUAGGAAUACGGUUUUCCUUGCCCUGGUCAUAACCAGAUUUUGGGAAAUAAUCACCGUUGCUUAUUUUAGACAAUUCAUUGCAAUCUUCUACUUCAUCAUCGUCUGUUCCAUCAAGAAGUUGGCUUCCAACUUUUGCAGCAAUACCUGAUACCACAUGCUGAUAUAUCGAAUGCCACAUUCUGAUAUAGUUUUGUCUUUCCAACUGGAUAUUGUGUGACCCAUUUUGUGCCUCUGAUUUGUUAACUUCUUGAAAUACUCUGAUUUCUGGUGCAGCAUCUUGGUAGGCCUCAACCCUUGCCAUCUUUUCUGGCUCAAGUGUACCACAAUGAUUAGCAGACACAAUAGUAUCCUCAGUUAAUAAAUCAUUACCAUCUAUAAUCAGAUUUUUGGAUUCAACGCUUCUGUAAUCUGGAUUGGUCUCUUUGUUCCCAAUGGUCCGGAGAAAAUUACAAGUGGGAAACUCGGAGUUUAAACAGAACCGUAUCCUCUUGAAUUCCCUGUAAAUUGUGUUUGAGUGCUGUUUCACCACUAUCAGAUUUCAAUUCAACUAUUUCUUUAGCCUCUUUGUCUUCGUCGUUUUCUUUACGAACAGUCUCGCCCACUUCAUGGGUAAUGCCAGCAAAUUUUUGGCUAUUAUCUUCAUUCGGUGUAACCACUGUUUCAAAGGCUUUUACAAGCAAAGACACUUUUCUCUUCUGAGUAGGGGCAAGCUGACUGAUUGCUUGGCGCAGUGCAUAAUCAAGCAUCCAUUCCUCUGUUUUCUUCCUCUCGUCCACUGUUAGAGGCCGCAAGUUGACUUUUUCUGAAUCAGGUUCAGGCUUCAAAGGCAGAUGUUGUGGGAUCCUUGGAUUAAAUUUCCUCACUUUCUCUAUUUCUUUGAUGAAUCUUUGAAGUAAAAUCCAUUUCUUAAGAUUACUCCAAUGUUUUGGUGCUUUCUUCUCGGAUUUGCUUCCAAAUUUUUUAUCAAUUUGUACUAUCUCUUGACCAGAAGUAUCAGUAUCGACGACACUUACCUCUUUCAUAUCAGCUGGUGCAUUGCCCUUCCCCUUAUCCAGCUCACAUUCUCUGGAACUUUCUUGUACACCGCCUGUGGAAAUGUAUAUCAUUAGUAUUCUACCUGUAAGUUUGAAAAGGAAAAUGAAAGCCCAUCCACUCACAAUCACACGCCCACGCGCAUGUACACACACUCUUAUAAAAAUAUAGAGAUACUUCCCCACCUUCGUCUUGAUUCUUUUCAAAGAGUUCGUGUUCAUGAGUAGUCUCGCUUGCGGUUGACUGAUUAUCGGAUGUCUGGUCGUGAACUUCAGGAAGAAGAAUCUUCUCAAUUGCUUCUCGGACUAGCUUGACUGCAAAAAGCUUGCGGACUUCAACAUCUUGAGUUUCACGGUCACAGUUCACUAUACCCACAUCGGAAAAAUCCUUGCGCAAUUGUGAACUUUCUUUUGCAGGCAAUACAUUAGAACCAUCACCACCGUGAAACGGCUGGUUUGCAGACUCUGCAGCCAUACUUUCUGCCAUAUGUUGAUGUAUCAAGUUCCAUACACUGAUAUGCCUAACUUUGCUGAACAAAGGUUUGUUUUCUUCAUGAAAAUGAGUAUUAUCUGAAGAUGGUGAGAUGGCCUUGUUAUUUUCUAUAACUUCAUCAAAAUUGUCUCGAGUUAAUGCAUUCAACAUGUUAGAUGGCAUAAAAUCACAUUCUCCUCGACUGGAAGUUGUAGUAUCCUUAGUUUGGGCACUGAUUUGUUCAUCUAGUUUCAAAGAAAUGGCAGAUGCAUUUGAAUCAGAAAAAUCAGCAGCUCCACUUUGACGGGUCUCAUGAUUGUACCCAUCCCCAAGAUUUGAGUCCGGAACUUGAGGGUGUGGGAAAUCUACAUGAGCAGUUCUCUUAUACUCAUUUGGUUGUCUUUUGAUGCAAGAGCACUUCAAACAAACAAUUCCUUGCCCCUGUAUAACAUAAUUCUUGACUCCUUUCAGACUCUCCUUGUAACUUUCCUCAGGGUAUGAUGUUUCACCAAAUGCAAUUUCGACAAGAUCAGACUCUUGAAUACCNNNNNNNNNNNNNNNNNNNNNNNNNNNNNNNNNNNNNNNNNNNNNNNNNNNNNNNNNNNNNNNNNNNNNNNNNNNNNNNNNNNNNNNNNNNNNNNNNNNNNNNNNNNNNNNNNNNNNNNNNNNNNNNNNNNNNNNNNNNNNNNNNNNNNNNNNNNNNNNNNNNNNNNNNNNNNNNNNNNNNNNNNNNNNNNNNNNNNNNNNNNNNNNNNNNNNNNNNNNNNNNNNNNNNNUAGUUGCCUGCAUGUAAUGUGGUGUUUCAUCCGACACUUGGAGCGAAAAUUUUGCCGGAGGUGUUACUACAUCAUCGGACAUACCCAUAAAAAUCCAAUCACCGGCUCUUGAUCUAGCCCUUCUCCUGAAUGUUUUUAGAUUCCUAAAAUUUUUCAAAGUCUUCUUGUUAGUUCUGUUCUUGAUUCCGGUAUCCCAGUAUUUAACAGGCAGUCCAUUAACUUCCGAUCCACGAGUUGAAGAAGUCAAUGAAAGGGUUUCGUCACAUUCACUCCCAUACUGAUGACACACAUCAUAGAAAACACCAAAUCUUAGAUAUUGUCCAAAAGCUAGCAAUUCUGUCUCAAGCACUCAAAUCCCAAGUACAAAAGAGUAAAUAAGCACAAAAAUAUAUAAAAUCUUGAGAAUGCCCAGAAGGUGCUCUACUAUUAAACCAAUAAGAUAUAAACAAGUACUACUGUUUCAAGGAAUUAAUUUUUUUUUUUUUUCCUUCAGAUCAUCAUAGUUGUUAAAUACCCAGAAUCUAAAAUAAUGGAAUUAAUGCUUUAUAUACAUGAAAAUGGAAUCAAAAUCAAUUUCAAGAAGUUGAACUUACAGGAGAAUUUUCUUUCUUUCCAUCAGAAUCGGUCGUGGCCCUCGUGUAAUCUGGCGAUGAAUCACAAGACUCCAUUAAACUAGCUUUUGCUGCAGGCUUAAAUAAUUUAUAAAUCAAUCAGAAAUCUCUUCAAGAAAAUUCAACUGACAUCAAGGCCAAAUAAGAUUUUUACAGAAACAAGAAGAGGACAAAUAUUACAUUACCGAAAAAAAAACUACAAAAAAUUUUAGGAUAAUAUGACUGAAAAUGCUAUAGAUUCCAAAGUGGUUGGCGUUUGUUUUAAAAAUUUGAGCAGUAAACAGCAGCUUACGUUUGAAAAAUAGUUGUGUUUGAACUUGUACAAAUUGGUACGUUUGACUUAGCUACCAUUUCUUUCCGAGUUGACUCACUUUCUUUGUUCAAAGGAUUUUUAAUUGGGAAUGAACUUAAACAAAAUUAUUGGAUUUUUUCCAUUAAACUUCUGAAUUUGAAAUCAAAGUGGGAGCCCUGUCUUGUGAAAAGAACAUGUGGGACAGUUGUUCUAUAUCAGUAUAAUUGAAUAAAUGGUGUAGGUGAGAAAAUACAGAACUGUUCUUUCGCAAUUGUCUAAAUUCUAAACGCGUGGACCAAACUCUAAUUUCUUCCCAGCUGUUUCUCGUCAAUUACACCGCUGAAUGCGAUAGGAGAAAUUUGUGUUGGAAAGUUUAGGUUGACUGUGAAACUUGUUCACAUAUAAAUUGAGAAAACUAACUCGUAACUCUGGUCGAUUGUCUUACAAUUUUUAAUUUAUGUUGUUUUAUCAAGAAAGCAUAAAAAUAUGAAUAAUUUUUUUUUAUUUAUGUUGAUGUUAUCAUGAACGUCAAAAAAUUAUGCUCAAAUAUUCGUUAGAUACGUUAUUGAAAAAUACCUUUUUUUUUGGUUUAAUUGAAUGUCUUUUUCAAAAGAUCAUAAUGGUCUUAUUCAUAUAAUUAUUCUAUAAGGAAAUUUUAAGUAUACCAUAUAAAAUCCUAACUUAAAAUAUUAAUGAAAACUACCAUAGUCAAACUUUGACCAAAGGAAAAACAAAUCUAAAACUAUAGGAUAAUAUUAAAAUCAUAAAAUUAUCAAAAUAGUUGAUAAUUUUUAUGCAUAUGUGUGGCCCUUAUGUUUUUUUUUUAACUCUUUUUCAAUCACAUAUUCACUCGUAAAAUAAUAUUACACAAACUCAAAAAUUUUCAUUAUUUUUAACCAUACAUUCUCUAAUAAAAUAAUAUUUCAAAAUACAUUUUGACCCAAAAUGGAGCCCGAACUAGGGCUAAACAAAUCACAAUUGCAUUGAAAAUACUCUUAGAACCACCUUCUAGAGUGAAAUUUAUAGAGUCGGUUAAUUCUCGACGCAAACAUGGUAUCAAGUUGGUGGGGUUAGUAACCCAAAUGGUCAAUGAACUUUGCAAAAAAAAAAUAAAAAAUUACGAGGUCACUAAACUUUAAAAAUCACUCCAUUCGUCACUGAACUUUGCAAAAGAUUUCCACAGAGUCAUUGAACUUUGCAAAACAUUUCCUAGGGGAUCUCCUAGAAAUUUUUUUUACAAAGUUUAGUGAUGAAUAUAAUGAUUUUGAAAAUUCAGUAGCCUCGUGAGUGGAAACCAUUUAUAAAGUUCAGUGAUCCGUGAAAACUUUUUUCAAAGUUCAGUGAUGACUUAAGUGAUUUUAAAGUUCAGUGACCCCAUCAAAACUUCUUGUAAAGUUCAGUGAUCAUUUAGGUUAUAAAAUCCGAGUUGGUGUAAUGGGCACAUCCAUGUGUGAAGCGUACUCGUUAUAUUGUUUUGAAUACUUAUUAAUUUUAAUUAUAUUUUAAUUGAGGUCACCUUGUCAUGCUGCUAGCAAUGGCUCAAUUGGGCUACCAAGUAAUUCUGGUAUCUUUAAUUAUGUUGAAUUUCUGGAAUGUCGAUUGGUCCUCUGUUCAUACUUCUUUUCUUGUGGUGAUAUCGUCUAUUUGGACCUUUUGGUACAAUCUUCUCGAUAUUGACGGGAUAUAACAGAUCAUAAUGGUUAAUUUGUUAUGAUUGGAAAAGAAGACUAAUAAGCAAAUUUGAGUUUAUUCUGCAAGGGUUAAAUUGAAAAGCAUUUUCUUGGAUAAAAAUUUUAUUCUAUGCCAUUAAAAAAACGAAGAGUUACUUUCUUGGAUAAAAAAUUUAUCCUAUGUCUAUUGAUCUAUGAACAUUUAAAAUUUUUAAAGGAAUUAUCAUCGAUAUUCUAUCAAAGAGGAAAGAAAUAAAGUAACUGAUUCGUUAGUUACAAAGGGAAGAGAGUGAUGCUGCUUUCAGGAGUAUGGUGCUCUUGAGCUAUCUCAAGUACUUCGCAUUUGUACCAUAGUAUGAUUGGACUAACAAGUCAUUUCUCUCAAGUUUAGAUGCCUAUAGGAUUUUUGGUUUCCUUUUUCACAUUUGUACCGGAGGUAUUACUCAUAUAUUGCUUUCAAUAUUAAUAAAAAAAAAAAAACGGAUGGGGCGAUGGGACCCUCAAGGUUGGCGUUCAACCUGCUUUCAAUAUUUAUUUCUUUGACUAGAGGUUCGGCAUAUGCCCAUUCGUUGUAUUCAUUUGUUUUCAUCUAUAUUAUGGUAAGAGAAUCUUAGCUCCUCUUCUUGUCUUGGUGGAAACUGGAAACUAAAAAAUAAAUGGGGACUAUGUUGGUGCUUUAUUAAAAAAAAAAUUAAAAAAAAAAAAAAAUCUUGUCAAAAUAAUUUAUCUAUUUGUUAAUAAAAGAAUAAAUAUUGUUUGUCUAUAUUAGAAAUAAUCAUAUUGUUAAACGAUUGCACUACAUGUACAUAACAAUUUAUAUAAUAAUUUACCAACAAAUAAUGUGAUGAGAUGUAAUUAGAUCAAAAUCCCAUAAAAAAAAAAAAAAAAACUUUUCCACUUACAUUUUAACACCUCAUUGUUAUAUAAAACAUUAUGUAAAUAAUUAUGUACAAUAAGCAUGGUGUUUAACUUCAAAUGGACUAGCUAGCCCAAUUGGUCGAGGUGUAUGAUUUAAGCUAGUUGCAAUAACCAUGACUUUAUUAUAUUUAUUUAAUAAAUAUUUUUAAUUAGUUAAAUAUAUAUAUUUGAAUUUUGAAGUUUCAAACUAUCUACCUGAUUUUUGAAUUGGUGUAAAUAUUACACCUUGACUAUGAAUUUUUCCCUAUUUCAUAUUCUAAUUUGGCCCAUAAGAUUGGCUCAUAGAACAAGACACACUCCGCUGGAAUUGUUGGAAAGCCAUCUAUUAAGUUUCCGACGUGCCUUAAAAUCAAAAUUUUAAGUUAAGACAAAAACAAUAAUGAAUUUUAAUCAUAUAUUUUAUGAGAUCCACAAGUUUUUAGUCAUAUAUUUCUUCAAAUUUAAUCCAAAUUUACUAAAAAUUUUAUUAAUAUCUACAAACUGCUAGAAUUUUCUAUGGGUUUAUAUACAAAUCCUGUUAGGUAGAUAGAGAUAGUAAUCGAGCUGAGUAGCUCACCGGCUCUGCUCGAAAAAGCUUGACCCAUGGGUGGUUCAGAUUCGUUUCAAAACGAACCCGAGCACGAGCCAAGGCGAGCCCACGAGCUAGGUUUGUGGCUCAUCGAGCCAAACAGUUGCUUACUUUUUUAAUUAAAAAAAAUAAAGUGAUUGUUUGGUCACUUUUAAAGAUUUGUGACCCUUUUUUAACGGUCUCUAAAAUUUAAUAUUUUUUUCUUGUAUAAAUAUGUCAAAACUUCACCAGUUUUCUCAGAACAAAUUCAACACUCUCUAUACUAUUUUUUUAUUAUUCAAUUUCUUCUACAAUUUUUCUAUUCUAUGCAAUUAUGUUACAAUUCACAUACACAUACACAUACACAUACAUUCAUUAUUAUAUAAUUUACAUACAUUCUAUAAGUUUAAUUACAUUCAAUUCUACUAUAUACAUUCUUUUAAUUAUAUUAUCUAUACUAUUCAUUAUCCAAUUUAUAAAUUUCAUAUUUAUUCAUAAUACACAUGGAUCCUCGUAAUUUUCAUGGAAGGCUUGUUUAGUGGCCAAUCACCUAUGACACCACAAUCUCAAUUUUUUCAAUCAAUUUGUUGGUUUCAAUGACGUCCCGAUUCUCAAUGAUUAGCUGGGAAUGGGCGGCAAUGACGAUGCUUGUGGUAGUAAUAAUUCAAUUGACUUGGAUGAUAUCGAUGAAGACACUGACGAGACCGAAAUACAAAUUCCCGAUACAAGAGAAAAGAGAAAGGGUCAAAAGCUUAUAAGUGUUGGGAACACUUUAAAUUGAUUACAUCGGGUUGUAUCGUCAGCAGAAUCCUAGAGUGUAAUGCAAUGUGCAAAUACUACCAAGCACGAUUAGCACAGCAAAAGGGUAUGGAUGCCAUCCACCUCAACCGUUAAUACGCCAAAUGUACAAUCAAACAUGGACUUCUUGGUGGAUCUUAGACACAAAUAGCCUUUGAUACUUCAUCUACCGAUGACCAUUAUUAUAGAAUCUAAACUAGUGAAGUAUGUUUCUUUUAUCUUAUACUUUCCACUAGCAUAUCUAUAGAUAUUUCUUCCUUUUUAUCAAUAUAACUAUUUGGUUUGGAAUAUAAAAUCCUUCCCAUCCUAGUUCACAUCCAUCUGUUUCAGUUAUUUUAUAUUCAUUGUCUAAAGGUAAUUCUAAUGAUAGUAAAUUUCUAACAUCUUCUUUUAUCUUUUUUUACUAGUUCUGUGUCCGAUUGAUUGAAGUAUUUUUUUCAUUUGCUAAACAAUUUACUAUACAAUAGUCUUACUUUCUUUCUGAAAUCUUUAAUAAAAUAUCUAACAUAAUUCAAAAUUCAUAAAAAGGCUUGUAUUUUUUUAGUUUCUUAUAUUUUAUCUGAAAAUUUUACAAUUGUAUGUACUAUAUGUGGUUGCAACUGGAUUUUUCCUUCUCUUAAAAUUAUUCUUAAAAAUUCAAUUGAUUUUAUUUAUUUUCAUUUUUUUUUACUUAUACUCAAACCAUUUUCUAUGAAUUUAUUUAAAACUAUUUCUAAAUGCUUCAUAUAUUCCUUAUGAUUUUUACUAUGUACCAAAAUAUCAUCUAUAUAUACACAAAUAAAUGGAAAAAAAUUAAAAAUACUAUCCAUUCUCUUUGAAAAGUAGAGGAUGCAUUUUUUAAUCUAAAAUACAUGACUAACCAUUCAAAAUAUCCUAGUGGUAUAGUAAAAGCUUUCCAAAUAAUAGAAUAUUUUGCCAUUUUUAUUUGUCAAAAUCCAUAUUUACAAUCAAAUUUUGAAAAUAUUUUAACUAUUUUGUAUUUUAUUUAUUAAUAUGUUCUUAUCUGGUAACUUAUAUCCAUCUUCUAUAGUAUUAUCAUUUAAUCUUUAACAAUUUAUAAUUAUUCUUCUUUUCCUUUUUUAAUUUCAUUAUGAUUUUUAAUCCAAAAAGUUGCCGAUCUGUGUUGGCUAUUAGAUGGUCCUAUCACUUUUAAAUCAAACAAUUUUUUAAUCUGUGUAUUAAAGUCUUCUAUAUCUUGAUUUUAUAUUUAAUUUCUGUUGUUCUAGAUUUAUAUUUUUGUUUAUAGUGUCUAAUUUAGCUUCUAUUUUAUUUUUAUCACAAUAUUUUAUAGGGUGUUUUUCAAUUAUCUGUAAUUCUAGAAUUUUAUCUAUACUAUCUACCUUAGAUGAUGUUUUAUUAAAUAUUAUCAAUUCUUUAGUUCUUGGUAUGAUAUCAGUCUUUAAGGUUUCUAGAGACAAAUGAUUUAAAUGUUCAAAGCUUUCUAAAUUAUCUAGAUAGCUAAAAAGUUUUCAUCUCAUUAUUUUAGUUUUACUAGCAGUAAACACGUGCAUUGCAUAUAUUAUGUACGGAAUGAAUGAUAUGCAUAAUAUUUUUUAAACUAAGAUAAUUGAUAAUGUUAAACAAAAAAUUAAAAUUUUUAAAAGUUGAUAAAUGAUUUUCAAAAUAAAAAAUUACACAUUUUGUAAAAUUUUUUAACCUUAAAAAGUAAAAAUAAAAAAAUAUCAUAUUUAAACACUUUUAGAAACCAAAAAAAAAUUACGUAUUAAUCGUGCUCGUCAUAUUAAUCCAUAGCAUAUUUAUAUUGAAUUAAAAACUAAAGUUACAUUCAAAAUAGAUAUAGAGGUGAAAAAUCUUGAACAAAAUGUAAUUAAUAAAAAUAGAGGGAUAAAAAUUCUCCCUUUAAAUGUAUCAAGAUAAAUAAAUAAAUAAAUUCUUUUCUUUAUAUAUUUAUAUCUAAUAAGUAACUGAAUCAUCAUCAAUUUUCAUAUUUAUACAAAAAUGAACAUGCAAUAAUAAUAAUAUAUCCAAUAAUAUAUUAAUAUUUUUUAGAACACAUAACAUUAAUUUUUAUUAAUUCUUAAAAAUUUGGUUUUAGUGAAAAAUGUGUAACUGAGAUGUGAAAUUUGUAUUUAGUGGGUUGGAUAUAAAUAUGGAAGGGGUAAGUAACUCCUAAUUAUUAUGAAUAAUUAGUAAUGUCUUUAGGAUUAAUAAAAAAUUCCUUCCAUCUUCGAUUCUUUUCCUUCUAACUGUUGAUCACAUUUAAGCACAAAAAAAUAAAUAAAUAAAUAAAUAAUUAGUAUAUAUAUUGUAAUUAUAACAUAAUUAUUUAAGUUGAUUUUUAAGUGAAGCUCACUUAUAUAAAUAAUAUAUAAUAUAAUAUAAUAUACAUAAAUGUACAUAUGAAAUAAUGUUAUCCUAUAUGUAUAAAAGAGCGAAACUUUGCUGAACACGUGUUUCAAUUUCAUAUCGUCUUCCUUUUUUUUUUCUUUUUUUUUUUUCAUUUCAUCCCACGCUAUCGGCCAUACCUCUUUCCUUCUCCAUUUUCCCAUGUUAUCACCAUACCUCUUUACCUCUCCUCAAUUUCUCCAACGCAAUCACCCAUUUCACACAAGAAUACAUGAUUUCUGCACGGAGCUACCUGAUUCAUCCCUCUCAUUCUCUACCCUAAUUGUAAACUUUCUGUGACAUUCAUCAAAAUUUUAACUGCCUCAUUUGCCUACUUUAAGGUAAUGAUUUUACGAAAUGGGUGUAAUCUUGAGUCUGGUCAUUUCUAUUUUCUAAGUUCAUCCGUAUCAUUUAGUUGUUCAUUUGUCUUUAAUGGUGAUUUUUCUUAAGUUUUCAUUUGUUUCAACCCGUGACCAAACUACUUCACAGUUAUUCAACUCAAGACGAGCAACUGAAUCUCUCUAAUUUGUAUGAAAGUAUGUUUUUUCGAUUUUUUUCUUUUGAAUUAAUCUUCAUUUUUGUUAAGUUUCAUUUGAUUAUUGUUUAUACGAGCAUGGUAUUAAUUUUGUUCGAACAUAACUUCCAGAUGAUGGUGAAUCAACUGAUGGGAAUAGUGACGGAGUAAUUAGUAGGAUACUAGGUCUUUGCUCUUCUCCCACUUCAUUUUAAAAUCUCUUUUUCUUUAUAUUUCAUUUUUCAUUUGUGAUAACAAAAAAAAAAAGGAAAAAAAAAAGAAAGGGAGACUAAAGCUCCGUGCGUAUAGUUCCGUGCAAACCUUUUGCAUGGCGGAGAAUAAAAACAUUUUUUAACAAAAAGAAAAAAUAAUAAUGAUAAUAAUAAUAAAAACAUUUUUUUAGGCAAAACAAAAAAAAAUACGAGACAAAGCUUUAGCGCCGCGCACUGCACGAAACAUAAAUGCUCCGUGACUGCACAGAGCACUUUUUUUUCUUUUUAUAUUAUAAAUAUAUCCUUCACCAAACAAAUUAUUAUUAUUAUUAUUAUUAUUAUUAUUAUUAUUAUUAUUAUUAUUAUUAUUAUUAUUAUUAUUAUUAUUAUUAUUAUAUCCUCCGUCAUGAAAUUAUAUGAAGGGAAACUUGGCUUAUCGCUUGCCUAUAUUGAAGGAGUCUUUGCUGAUUUAGCUCCAAGGUUGACGAUGGUAUUUUUGUCCUUUUCUAAAGAAUUUGUUUGACUCUUCAAUGUGUUUAUGUUCAUCUUUCACAUAAUGAUUCUCAUGUGUUCUUGUGUUCUGAUCAAGAGUACUAAUAUUGUGGUUAUUGGUUCUAUAGUUUAUACUGCUCCAGUAAGACAUGGAUGCUUGUUGUGCUUCUAGAAGAGGUAUGAGAUUCUUUAUGGACUACGCUUUUGCUUAUGCUGGUAGUUUUUACAGAAUGGAUGCUAUGUCUGUGCCUAGUAAUUUAUGGCAUAUAUGUUUUGGCGCUUUAAAGUUUCAAAGGCAUGCUUCCUUUGAUGGAUUCUCUUUUAGUAGAGGACAUUUACAACCUAGAUUUUCUAGGUUGGACUUAUUUUACCAUAUUAAAUUUAUACUGAAAAUUUACCUUCGUUUUUAGCCAGAAAAUAUUUACUAUUUUGACAAUUACCAUAUUAAAUCUGGAUGUUUAAGCUUAUCUAGAAUUUUGAUGAUUAAUAGAAGGAACAUGGUUUAUAUGAUCUAAUGAAAUGCAAUUUGAAGAAUCAUUUCCAGUUUUGAACUUAAUUUCAUGGACGACCAGGUCCGUGCGCGCACGGAGCAAAAAUAUAGUUGUGGAAUUUGUCAAAACAUUUGAAGAAUCUUUUCCUAUAUUGAACUCAAUUUCAUGAAUAAUUGUCCUCUCUUGAAGCAUUUAAUUAUGUCAACUAUCAAUGAGAAAGACAAGAAAAUUCACCUUUCAAAACAUUUUUUUAAACAUUGAAAAAAAUUAAAUAAAUAAAUUGUGGCUAAAGCAGCUCCGAGUCGCACAGAGUUGCUGCACGAAGUAGCACCCCGUGUGACAUGAGUUGCCAAGCUCCGUGUGAAGGGACUCCCCUAACUUUAAAAAAAAAAAAAAUUAUUUAUUUUUAUUUUUUAGUAGUGGACCUUAUUAUUAUAAUUUUUUUUUUUUUACUAUUAUAAUGGAUAAGCUAAAAACUGAAAAAUAUAGGUUAUGGGCAUCAAGUUUGAUGCCCUAACCUAUAGUCUCAUAUAUAUAUAUAUUUAUUUAUUUUUUUACUAUUAUACUUUCACCGAGGAGGAAAGAAUAAUCUUCCAAGGACUAUAACAAGGGUUGUUUAACAAAGCUUGUGAGAAGACUUUAGCAAAUUUUGAUAAAAGUUGAUAAAAUAUGUGGUUGAAAAUUUGAUAAAAAUUGUUAGUCCCAUAAAUAGUAUGAUAAAAUUAAUUUUGACUUUGAUUCAACUUUUGAAGAUAUCUCAAACAAGAGCAAAUAUAACAUUUUAUGAUAAAGAUUGUCUGAAAGCAAAUGCAAUCGCUUAUAAAUAAAUUAAGUAGAUUUCCCUCUUGGGUCUUUAAUAAGUCUCUAAUAGAAAUUUGAAUCUAUUUUUAUCACAAUAACCAGUAAUAUUACAACAUAACACAAUAUCAAGUACAUAUACUUGGAAUCGAAUCACAGCUCAUGAGAUAUAUCCUUUUUCAUUAUGAUUGUCUUGUCUUAUCUAGGACCGAUCUAGAUGGCCAUGCACAAAAGCAUGGAUGUUAUGCCCAUGUUUGAUAGUGAUUAAAAUCUAGAUUUUAGUCUAGUCAAAAUCAAUAAUUAAUAUUAGCCACAUAUUUCAUGAAAUCCGCAAUAUUUUAACUACUAUUUCAUCAACUUUUAUCACAAUUUAUUGAAAAUUUGAUUUUAAUUCUCACCAAACAAGGAUCAUAUUUUGUUUUGAUAGUUGGUUGAAGAUUAUGCCUUGUUUGAGUCCUAUUCUUUUGAUAAAAAUGAAUUUUUGAAUAAUGUAUUGAUGGAAAAUGUGCGGUUAAAAAAUGAGGAAAAAUUUUGGAUAUGCAUGCAAUAUUAUUUUAUUAAAAAAAUAUAUUGUUAAAAUGAUGUCAAAACACUGCUUAAGAAUGAAAUUUUUUCGAAGAAUGAAAAUCAAAUAGGGGCUAUAUGGGCUCAAACAUGUUUUUGGCUCUGUUUGGUGCUAUUUUAUUUAUGUCAAGCCUAAAGAAAAUAAAAUAUUAUAUCCUUCAUCACACACCAAAAUUCUUGUGUAUAGCUAGUCAAACUCGACUCCGAAUUAAACAUGUCAAAUACGACUCUGAAUUGAGUAUCGGAAUCAAACUAGAUGACUUUUAUAUCAAUUUUGGACUAAAGUUGGACGUGUUAUUCACUUAGAAAAUAUAAUAUUAAAGUGCUCGAAUAAAUUAUUCAUUUUAUACAAAUAUUAAAUUUCAAAUUUCUGAAAAUGUGCACUUAUUAAAUUUGUGAUGAAAUUAUAAGAAAACAAAUGAAGAUUUGCAUGGAAGAAAUAAAGCAUGAGAAAAGGAAAUGAAGCUCACAUUAAUAUGUUUGAAUAACUUUUUAAGUACAAAUCAAGCAUCUGCUGAAUAGUAGUUUAAUGCCAUGAAAAAGAUCACUAGGUAUCGAAUGGUUAUUGAAAGAUGGGAAUGCUUCUUAAUUAAUUAGUAAUUACUCAUGGGAUUCCACCACCUCCUAUUCCGCCACCAGCUCCUGCACCAAAUCCACUACCGGAUCCUCCACCCAAUCCGCCUCCACCACCAAAACCUCCUCCUCCUCCUUGGGCACCAUUUCCAAACCCACCACCAAAUCCUCCUCCAGAACCAGAACCACCCCCUGUUCCUCCACCUCCACCUCCUCCUCCUCCUCCAAACCCUCCACCUCCUCCAUGAGAACCACCUCCCAUCCCACCACCAAAUCCUACUCCAUAACCAGAACCAGAACCACUACCACCUAUUCCUCCACCACCACCUCCACCUCCACCAAACCCUCCACCUCCUCCUUGAGCACCACCUCCAAUCCCACCACCCAUUCCUCCUCCUGAACCAAAACCACCUUUCGUUCCUCCACCUCCACCAAAGCCUCCACCACCACCUCCACCAAGCCCUCCUAGAUCCCAGUGACCAAGGGAUAAAUUUUUAUCUCCAUCUAAAGAACCCUCUGAGCCAACAAGCUUUCUUGCAGUGGUGGUGCAAAUAAGAACACCAAGGAGAACCAAGAGAACAAAUUUGGAAGGCAUCUCAAUUUGUAAGUAAAAGAUAGGUAUUCAAUCUUGAUUGAUAACAACUUAGGACACAUGAAAGUGUUAUAUAAUGCUAGAAUAUCAAUUAUUUGCAAUAAAGUUUAAUGCUUGAAUUAAUGUGUAUUAAUGAAAGUCUCAUAACUUGACGGUAAUUGUAUUAGUAACUAAAAAUUUAAAUUUUUAUGUUUCGUUAUUAAUCGGUGCAUUAGUAGAUUAAUUUCUGAAUUAAUGGAUGUUUUAAUUUCUUUUCCUUUUAUCAUGUUUUAUUUUUCUUAAAUUACCUAACAUUUAUUUUUUCAGUUUCAUUUCGAGUUCAUCAUAAUCUCUCUCCCCCCUCCCCGGGGAGAGAGAGAGAGAGAGAGAUGAGGCAAGUGUUAUUUAGCAACUUAAAGUAAUCCCGAGUCAAGUAUCAAUAAGAUUUAAAGGUAUAAGCAAGAAAUGAAAUUUUAUUUUAUGGCCAAGUGAGCAGUUGAGCAGAAAAGUUUUUGCUUAUUUUUGCACUUGCAAUAGAGUUUGGUGUAAAUUUUCUUUGAGUUUCGAAUAAGAAGUAACGUGCCCUAUCAUGGAAAAUUAUACUUUCGUGUAUGGAAUGACAAAUAACUAUAUAUGUAUUGUUGAGUUUAUAACUCAAAAAUUGAAUUUUAUUUAUGAAAUGGAAUUUUGAAUACACAGUCACCAAAGCCACAAUCUAUUAUAUCCACUCAAAUGAGAUUUUCUCACUCCACUAAAUACAUACACUGGUUGUAUAUAUACACAGGAGCGGAGCUACAUAAAGUCCAGUGCGGGCAUCGGCCUGCACUUUGAACUUGACACAGGAAACUCCAGUGGGCUUGCACUGGACCAAGAGAAGAAGAAGAAGAAGGAGAAGAGGGAAGAAAGAAGAAGAAAAAGUGUGUCUGCGCACUCUACAGGCACUAGCAGAGGAAGAAGAGUUACAGUUGCUGACGGGGAAGAAGGGAAGGAGGAAAAAAAGUUACACUUACAGUUGCCGACAGGGAAGAAGAAGGGAAGGAGGAAGAAGAGUUUAGUUGGGCCAAUUUUUUAAUUUUUUAGAUUUUGGGCCUUCUCUUUAGUUAGGCUUUCGAGAAAAAAAAAAAAAAAAAACAAUAGGCCCUUGAAAAAUCAUAUGCAAAGUUUUUUGGAAGUAAAAAAAUACUGUGUAAAAUUAAAAAGUGACACAGUGUCAUUUUUUUCACAAGAAAAAAAAGUGACAAACACUCAAAAAGUGNNNNNNNNNNNNNNNNNNNNNNNNNNNNNNNNNNAAGGAGGAAAAAGAGUUACACUUACAGUUGCCAAUAGGGAAGAAGAAGGGAAGGAGGAAGAAGAGUUUAGUUGGGCCAAUUUUUUAAUUUUUUAGAUUUUGGGCCUUCUCUUUAGUUAGGCUUUCGAGAAAAAAAAAAAAAAACAAUAGGCCCUUGAAAAAUCAUAUGCAAAGUUUUUUGGAAGUAAAAAAAUACUGUGUAAAAUUAAAAAGUGACACAGUGUCAUUUUUUUCACAAGAAAAAAAAGUGACAAACACUCAAAAAGUGACAAAAUUAAAAAUCAUAAUAAUAAAAAAAAGGGACACCAACUCAAAAAAAAUGACAGACACUAAAAAAAAGUAAAUUCUACAAAUUCAAAAAAAGGUUAUGGAAAUUUAAAAAAGUGACGGACACUCAAACAAAAAAAAAUUUCUACAAAUUCAAAAAAGUGACACACUAAAAAAGUGACAAAAAAUCAAAAAAGUAACGGAUGCUAAAAAAUAAAUUCUACAAAUUCAAAAGAGUGACAAAAAUUCGAAAAAGUAACAUAAAUUAAAAAAAAGUGACAAACACUAAAAAAUUUACUUAAAACAAGUGACAAAUGUUAAAAAAAGUGAUUACAUUCUUCCUUCCUAGCAACAAAACUGACUAACAUCUAACUGCAGCUAGACUAAGAAACUUUAAAUUGAAGUAAUGGAUUGUGUCUUCUUUUGCGAUGCUUCAGGAUAUCACUUAUAAUUGGUGGCCAAUAUACAAGAGAGAGUGAAUUAACAUCAAAAGAGGAUUUCACGAACUGUCUCUAGCAACAUGUCUAUAGAGAGCUCCUCAUUAUCAAUUCUGUUUUUUUAAAAGGCACGAAUGCAACAGCAGUAUCACUAGCAAUUGGCUGGCUAUUUCUUGCUAUUUCCUGCCAUUUCUGCAGUAGCAUCAGUGCAUCACCAACAUUUGCAAACCUAUUUACUCAACGUGUGACAGAAAGUGUCAAGUACAUGGUCUUUAAGGGGAAAAAAGAGUAUAGAAAAUGUUAAAGAUAAGUUUAAUGUCUCUUUAAACUCAAGUAAAAAGGAUUGAAAAGUAAAACUCAGCCAACCCAACAAUGGCUUCAGAAAAAAAACAACUACCACAUUACAAACUAAUUUUGGUUCUUUUUGUCCACAUAAUUUAACUAAGGGAAACUUACAAAAAUAUCUCUAAAAUUAAUGAUCUUUCGAAAAAUUUUGGAAGUAAAAGAUAAAGUGUAAAAUUAAGUGUCACUUUUGUUUUUUUUUUUCUUUUUAAUGACACAAUGUCAAUUUUUAAAGUUAAGUGGAACUUUUUAAUAAAAAAAUCGCAUGGUCACUUUUAUUAAAAAGUUAUAUUUGUCCCUAAAAAAAGUUAUAUAAAUUUCAAGAAAGUCACAUAAAAAAUAGUAACAAUCUAUAAAAAAAGUGACAAAAAUUCAAAAAAGUGACAAAACACCAUUUAUAACAUUGAAAUCAAUUUCAUAAAGUCUAAACUUUACAUUUAAGUCUGUUAUUAUCCUGUGCGGAGAAUAUAAUGCGAUUUUUCCUUUGAACCAAUAUUUUUGAGAGAUUAUUAAAUCUCUUAAAAAAAAAAAAAAGAAAGAAAGAAAAGUAAAGUGAUACACUAAAAAGAGUGACUAAAAAAGUGACAAAAGGAUUAACACAUAUUCUAUUGCUAUUUCUUUAAUGAAGAAAUAUAUCCACCUAAAAUCCACGUUGAAAAAUGAUUAACACAAAUUCUGAAGAUUAUUUCUACACAUUCCACACUUUUUUUUUUUUUUAUCAUACAUUUAGUAAAGCAUUAUGCAUCUGUAAUGGAAAUUUUGCAAGAAAACAGAGCAUGGGAUAACCAGGGCAAAAUUCCAAGUUCCAAUAAGAAGAUUCAAUCUGUUGCCAUCGUUUUCAGCCACUCUCCUCCCACAAAAGUCAUGACUUCAUCUUUGCUCCUCAAGGUCGUCAAUGUUUUGGCAUUAUUAUUUACUUUUUGAAUAAUUUUUAGAUAUUGGUGAAUGGAUCUUAUUAGACAGCUUUUAUUUGUAUUUUUUAAUUGGACUAUGUUAUUUUGUAAAAGUUAAAAUUGAACUAUCAUUCAUUAAAUUAAUAUAGUGUUGUUAUAAAUGUUAAAAAAUUUAAUUAUGGUAUGGAACCUAAGAAACCAAAUCGAACCGAACCAACUCGAACCAAAGAGCCGAACUAUUUUGGUUCCAUAAUUAAAUUUGGACCUGACGAUUCCACUUACCGAAUAUCUAAAAAAUCUGAUUCAAUUCGAUUUGAACCGAACCAUGUCCAACUCUAAUUUAGAUCAACUUUAGAUGAAUUUUCAUUUAUGGAAAUGGAACGCUAAUUCUCAAUGAUUGAAAAUUUGAAGUGUAUUAUAAAGAGUUCGCUGAGUUCGAUUGGAGUGGGACCAUUUGCUCUAUUUAUAGGCAUUAACAAUCAAAUUGAUUGCCAAUGUCGCAUCAACUAUAGUGUUGACCUCGAAGUAUGGCCCACCCCCCAAAUUUGAGGAUUUUGAUUGGUGUUUGAUGUCAACCUUGUAGGUUAUCAUGCUAAUUAGGUUGUAUAUAUAGCCUAGGUUAUUAUUUCCUAUCAUCUAGAUAAUCAUUGCUUAAUUUUUAUUUGUGGAGGAUGAGUUACUAAUGUUAGGGCUAGCCCUGAAAAUUUAGAGGUCCUAGGCGACAAAUUAUUACGAGGCCCUCCAACAUAAUAUUUUUACAGGUGCAACAAUAUUUAACUAGAAUAAAGUAACAAUAUUUAAAUAAAAUAAUGUUACUUGUACAUAAGUAGUUAUAUAAUUAUUAAUAUACAGAUGGGAUAUCAAAGAAAUUGUAGAGAAGUUUUUUUUUCUUUUUUUCUUGUUGAAGAAAUUCUGAGACAAUUAUAUCUCAUCUAGAGAUGGACAAAACUCCCGAACCGAAUCGAACCAAACCCGACCGUUUUUCUUAAGUUAAAUACCCAAACGGGUAUCCGAAUCAUGAAUCGAAGGGUACGGUUCGGUUCUCGGUUCUAGACCAAGAACUGAAUAACCCAAUUUUCCUAAUUUUUUAUUUUUUUUAUAUUGAAUAAAUCAAAUUAUUUUAAUUUUUUCUAAAUCUAAUUUUUUGGCCCAAUUAUUUGUUUCAUUUUUUAUUUUUUUAACCCAACAUCAAGCAUUCAAGCCCAUAUCAUUCUUCCAUUUUUAGCUCAUUUUUAGCCCAACUCUAAAUCUCCAAUGUCCAACCCACUAAAUCCAAGUAUCCAACCCAAAAUAAACUACAUAGUACACUACAUACGGUCCCACCUCUUUUUUAGUACUAGUAUCUACUUUUCGGUAUAUGUAUACAUUGGUAAAUUAAUGUUAUUGGACAACUUAUUAUUUAUAUGUUUUUUAAUGGGACUUCGUUAAUUUGUAAAAGCUAUGAUUCAACAUAUUAUUAGUUGUAUUUAUGUGAUGUUGUAAAUGUUAAAAAAAUGUAAUUAUGGUACGGAACCGAAUGGAACCGAACCCGAACGGUUCCAAUUACUAAGCACCCGAAAAUUUCGGGUCCGGUUCAGCUCUUCAUGUCCAGCCCUAAUCUCACCACAUCUUGUGUAUAUAAAUCUUUAUGUAAAUCUAUUAUGUAAUAUAGAACAACCGAUUUAAAUAUUUAAAUAAUUAAUACUUUUCUAUUAAAAAAAAAUACUUUAUGCAAUUCAAAGUAACUUGUAUAUAUAUAGUUACAAAGGAGAGGAAAAAAAACCAAAUUGCAAAACCAUAAUUCCAAACAAUCACCGGGUGCAAUAAAAUUAAAAGAAAGUAACCCAGGCAAAAUACCAAUGAAGAGUAAUUAUACAAACAUCAGACGAAGAAAGUGGAUCUCAUUGUGAUAUAAACUAUCCUUCUGACAAAAUGCAAUUAAUUAAUUACCUUUCUUUUUUACUAUUUGUAACUCCAAUAAUAAAUAUAGAUCAAUUGAGAUUUAGCAAAUUGAUCAUUGCCUCAAAAACUAUCAUCCUAUGUCAUGUUACCUAAUUAUUUACAUGAAUAUGCUCCCACAAAUGACUUAUUUAUGAAAGUUUUUUUGGAUCAGAAAAUAUCUUUCUCUAUAAAUAUUAAGACAUCUCAGCAAUCUGUUAUGUUUGGUGUUUACAAAUGAAUUAGUUAUUCUCUUCAUCUCACAAAAUAGGCCUGGAUAUUUUAACAAGAAUUGAACCUUCCAAACCAGAACAAGAGGUUUUGGUUCGAUUUAAAAAAAAAUUAAAUAAAUAAAUUUGGAACUGGAACUGAUAACUGAUUGGGUUCGAAUUGAUUCUUAGUUCCUGAAGUAGAACUAUGAGUACCCAAAUAGAAUCGAUUUUUAAGAUAAUUUUUUGUUUACAAUUUAUAUGUUGUGUAAAAAAAUGCAAAACCUAUAAAUCCUAAUUUAGGUAGUAAUUAGUCUAAAACUCUAAACCCAGGAAAUCAAGACUGGCUCUUACUCUUUUACCUUUCACCUUACAUUAUAUUGUUGCAUUUCACAUGUUAAUACAUGUUAAUCUUUGCAAUUUCGGCUUUCUAUGAAUCAAAAAGUUCGAGCUAGAUUAUGAUGUAAGUUGAUGAAUCAAAACAUUAAUUCUUUACAAUUCGAGCUUUUUACUUUCUUGCAUUGUUUACAACUUAAGUGAUUUUUUCAUUUUUUUAAUAAUACAUAGCAAUUGAACAUGAUAAAUUCAUAGCUUGGAUAGUGUAUAUUUUUUAUUAUCUCGAGUUUGUGAUUCUUUUUUGAAAUAGAAUUUUUUUUUCUUUUUAAUCAAACAGAGCAAGUUCACUAUGUGGACUGCAAUUUUUUGAUACUAUAUAGCUAUGUAUCUAAUUAAUAUUUUUUAUAUCAGUUUGUUUUAAUAGUACAAGAAUUUAAGAAGUGUUCAUAAUUAAACUAUAAGUUCUAGCAUGUUUCACUUAUGGAUCGAAUAAGAUUUAUUAAGAAAAAUAAGUUCUUCUUAGAUUGUAAUUUAAUUUUGAUAUUUUUUUUCGCUUCUUUCGUGGUUUGUAAUCUCUACUAUUUUGCUUAAUGAAAAUUUUUUAGCUGAAUUUGCUACCUUGCACAAAUAUUAUCGUGUAGUAGCAUAUCAGGUAUACAUAUACCUAAAGGGUAUAUGCGAAAAUGUUUAUUUAAUGUACAUAAUAAAAAUUUUUAUUGGUAGAAUCGAACCCAAAUCGAAACCAUCUAUUCCGGUUUGGAUUUGGUUCCAAUAAUUACAAGAACCAGAAUGGUUCCAAUUACUGAAUACUCGAAGUAUAAUGGGUGAUUUGAUGUAUUGAUACUCAAACCGACCCACCCAAUGCCUAGGCAUACCACAAAGAUAGGCUUGUUUCAUUUUAACAUAGAUUUGAAAUUGUAAUUAAUAUAAUUAAAAAUAUAAAUUUUUUCUAAUAUACCCCUAAAUUAAAUAAUAGUUUAAUAUGAAUAGCUCUUAUUUGUUGAUAACAAAGCACAAUAAAGAUGAGCAUAUUAAAAAUUUAAAAUAAUAAAUUAUACUCUCAACAAAGAAAUUGACUUAUAAUUUGAGACAAACAAAAAAGUAGAGCAAGUCUAUCUCUAAGGGACGAAUGAUGGAGUGUUGACAGAAAUGGGCACUAAAUAAGUUUUGGAAUUUUUUAUUCUGUCCAAAAAAGAGGGGAAUGCACAUUUGCAAAAGGAAAAUACAGAAAAUUUCGAUACGACAGUGGGUCCACACAUACAUUGCUUUGCAUUAAGCUAAAAAAAAUAAAAGAAAAAAGAAAAAGACAGACUAUUUCAAUGAUGGCCCUCCAUAGAUUCACACUCCCAUUUUUUUCCAUGAGAUGGAUUAAAAAAACUGAUGUAAGGUAAGAUUAGUGACUUGAUUGUCUUCUAUUAAUUUAUUAAAAAUAAGAAGCCAAAUUGAUAUUUAGAGGGAAGUUCAAUGAGCAAAAUUGAAAUUAACCCUCUAUAGUGAACCAAAAUAGCUAUAAAAUUGAAAUAAUCAAUCAUACAUUAAAGAAAGGAAUAAUGUUAUCUAGCACAAGUAGUGUUAGAACACCUGUUUAGAUGACUAUAUAUACUUUAUAGAUUCAAUUAAAUGAAUCAUAUGACUUAGCAUUUAAACCAAUCUAUCAUUUAAUGUCAUAUAAUUGCCACAUAUAUUGGUGCUUAACAUUAGUGAUGAUGAAUAACAUUUCUCUACAUCGAUUACAAUAGAGAGAGAGAGAGAGAGAGAGAGACAUAAUUAAUGGUGACGAUAGUUGGGUUGAGACGGCCUUUACAGUAUGUUGACCUUGCCUGAAGGCAAUAAGAGGUUAAGAGCCACUAAAAAUUUGACCCAACAUAGACGUUUAGCAAGCCAAAUGGGCUCUUUAUGCAAUCCAAUGUGCUCAGCUCAACUCAAUUGAUACCACUAGAUAUAAGAGUUAUCCAUAUCAUGUACUUUCUUGCACAGAAUUCUGUUGCAUUGAGACCUCUGAUUGUGAGAUGCAAAUUAAUCUGCUAAACUACUUGAUCUCAUAACAUUACAAAUUCCGUUCCAAAUUAUGAAAAUUCUUUCUUGACAUUCAAAAUAUAUGAGGAAAAACAAACAGAGAAGUAAACGCAAAAAAAAAAAAAAAAAAAAAAAAAAAAAAAAAAAAAAAAAAAAAAAAACAAAAAAACAAACAAACAAACAUAUAGAAGUCUUCUAUUUAAAAAUGGGAUUAGACAAAAAAAAAAAAUCAAAUUUUCUCUCAUUUUCUUUUAAUUUUCUUCCAUUUUUCUUUUUCUUAAUAUGAAGCGUGUUGUAGGAGCACAUUUUCAAAAGAAACCUAAAUAUUGAGGAAGUUGUAGGGAAACGAGACAAAGUUAUACGGCACGAUAUAAAGUAUUAAUCACAACAAUAAGAUGAGCACAAAGAUAAGAAUUUAAUUCGAUAGAGAAAUUGGAGAUUUUAUUCAACAACUAUAAUGGAGAGAAAAUGCAAUAAUUGUGUUCCUAUACAAUGACUCUUAACGUUCAAUAAUUAUCUAAUUGUAAAGAAAAGUGUACUAUUCAUAGGGAUACAUGUUAAACUCUAAUAAUAGCUCAAAAGAUGGAAACUACAUCAAAUGCAUGUAAAAUGAAACAGGAGAAAAAAAAUCUGAUGUUUUGUCGCUCAAGCAUUGGUCUCGCGCCAGGCGAGCGUCAGUAGUGCUACUCAAGCGGCCCUAUAGGGGUAGUUGAGCAAAAGGCUCUCUGCUCUGAAAUUCAUCCCACCACUUGAGUAGUGGGCAGGGCAGGUUAGAGCCAUGUCACCUAAUCUUCUUCUUGGACCUUAUUUGAUUAUCUUCAAGCCCAAUACUUCAAAUCAUGCAACCCCUGAUCUAAAUUUGAAUCACAAAACCCAACAAUCUUCACCCCGACACAUAUUCCACUACUAUGAUCAUGUCUCCAAAAUUAAUCCACCUGGAGAAAAAAAAUCAAACUGUAAAGAAUGAACUGAGCUCUUCAACAAUAACUAAACUAACUUAUCCAAAAAACUAAAAAUAGUCUACCUCUUCCACAAUUCCAACUAUGAUACUUGAAUCCAAGAAUUGCUCCAUAAAAUUACUUUGGGUUCAACCCAAAAAAUCAAAUAAUGAUUUUAAAAUCGGCCAAAUAGGGCCAAAACAUACCUUCAAAUAGAAUCUAACUAAAUGCUUUUGUAGAAACUAGAAAGCCCCUUGCUAGUUUGAACAUUUGCAAAUACGCUUAAAGCAUGCGCAACAAAAUCAGUUUUUCGGUACCUUUCUUCAAGGGAUCUAUCCAUAGCAAUUACAUAAGAUGACACUAUAGGUGAUGGUGGUAAAUCAGCAUUACCAAUAUCCACUGAACUCAAUUGAGCUGUAUUCUUCAAUACGGACCUUGAACUAAAUCCCAACAAUAUUAUACCAGAUUGAAUAGCCACCACGGUACUAAACCUUUGCUGAUUAAUGUUCAUAAAUUUUGCAUGACCUUGCAAUAUGUAUAAAUGAGAACUAUUCUAUCUCUCCAGUAGAACCCGUGCACCCUUACAAACCUUCAAAGCUCCAUUUCCACCAAAUAACUUAUAACCCUUUCAAUCAAAAGUAACUACUGAGAUGGAUUUUUCUUCAAAUCUAAAGCAUGUUGAACCUGACCAAGUGUUUUAGCUAUCCCAUUCAACCACUUUAAUUUGACUUUACCAAUACCAGCUACACGAAAAAGUGGUUGUUCAAAAUUGUUUCAUAUGUUACAAAUAGAUCCCAACUGAGACAUAUAUGAAAAGCACAAGCUAGAAUCCAAUCCUCGUUAAGAUUGGAGUUGCCGUUAAAAAUAGCCAAUACAUAUCCAUCACUCAAAUAAUCCUCUACGAUAUUAGCUUCACCUGAAGUAUCUGAUUCCUUCCCUUCUGAUUUGUAGCCAAAUUUACUUUUUCUGCAACUUGUUACAAUUCCUCUUGAUGUGCCCAUUUUUCUUGAAAUAAAAUAAACUUGAUUAUUGAAAUAGGAUUUUGACCUACCGCUUCUAUGACCACAAUGAACAACAAGGCCUUGUCCGUCUCUAGCCUCAAAUCCAAUUAGAUAUUCCAUCUUCUCCUUUUAAAACAAAACAUCAUAUGCAUCUUCAAUGAUGAAAGUAUCACAACUAUACAAAAUUGUGUCUCUAAAUGAAAUAAACGAAGCAAACAAUAAACACGAAAGAAUGAAAGCUAAAUCUCUGAUUUCCUUAAAAACAGCCAAAAUGAUCUUCCUAUUAUCUGCCUUCUGUUAUGUGAUAAGAAUACAACCUUGACUUCAUGUGCAAUUUACUUGUCAAACUCUUAAUCAUAUAGAAUUGCUCCAACUUCGACCACAACGUAUUUGUCGUUUUUCCCUUCAAAACUUUCUUAAGAAUAUUAUUCGAAAGAUGAAAACGAAUUUGUAAAAGCAACUUUUGAUCCUUCCAUUGUUUCUCCUUCGUCAUCCAAGUUGUGGGCAUCUUAUCAAAUUCCAACGACGCAUCAUCCAAAUCCAUCUAAGUGAGUACUGCAUCGUCUCAUGCCACAGCAAGAAUCGAGUACUGCGAUCCAAAACUAGAAUGUUAUAAUUCAAGGUUGACAUCAAUAACAAGAAACCUCAAAAAAAUCAAACCAAAGCUUUGAUACCAUUUGUUGAGAAUUUGGACGAGAUUAUACGACAUGAUAUGAAGUGUUGAUUGAUAAGUGUGUUUUUACGCACUUAUUUAGUUCACAAACAUGAAGUGAUUAAGAGCAAAAUAUUGGAUUUGUGAUUUAAAUUUUGUUAAUUUGUGUAUCGUAUGAUAUACUGAUGAACAUGGUGAAAUUCAGGAGAAAAGAGGUAAAAAGGACUAAAUUGAAGCAAAGUGAAAGUUCAGGGACCAAAGUGCAAUUAUCUAAAAAGUUGAUCCGACAGGCACAUCAAGCAAUUGAUUGAGCUAAGUACCAAUUGGAGGUCAUAAUGAAACAUUGGAACAACUAGAAACACCAAAG
rnacentral:lncRNA from 1 species